rnacentral:rRNA from 1 species
UACGGAGGGGGCUAGCGUUGUUCGGAAUUACUGGGCGUAAAGCGCACGUAGGCGGAUUGUUAAGUCAGGGGUGAAAUCCUGGAGCUCAACUCCAGAACUGCCUUUGAUACUGGCAAUCUAGAGUCCGGGAGAGGUGAGUGGAACUCCUAGUGUAGAGGUGGAAUUCGUAGAUAUUAGGAAGAACACCAGUGGCGAAGGCGGCUCACUGGUCCGGUACUGACGCUGAGGUGCGAAAGCGUGGGGAGCAAACAGG